UUUUUUUUAAUUUGAUUUUAAAUUACCUGGUACUGUGGAUUCAAGAUUUUUUGUUAAAUGUAUAAUGGAUUUGGAUUCAUAUCGAAAGGAAAUACUGAAUACAUGAUUAUUACGUGAUUAUUUCUACCUUGAUGCAUCUACAUAUUGUUUACAAGAGCUUAAUAGUAACUAUGGACACACAUUUUGGAUAGUUUACAUUUGUAUUAGUAAGAGGAAUGUAAACAUUUUAUUUCAUUGAGAUACUUGAUCCUAUGGAUUUUGUGGUAUAAUGUACUCUGAGAUUGAAAUAGAGAAGAGUGGAGGCACAUGACCAUCCAUGGACAUACUGUAUAAGCUGGAGUUUUAUUGUGGAAUAAAGUAUUGUUCUGAG
rnacentral:sRNA from 1 species